GACAAAGCAGGAUGCUUCUCAGCUUCUGUGAACAUGUCCACCUUCAACCUCACUGGCUAUAUGUACAGACACAGCAUCAAUAUUGUGACUACUGUGGUGGAGGAAGGGACAGGCGUGGAGGCCAAUGGCACUCAGGAAAUCUACAUUUCUUCACAAAUAGGAUCAAUGACCUUUGAAGACACCAAUAAUUAUUAUUACCCCAAUUUUCCCUUCAGUGGGAAGGUAUGUUGAAGUCUGUCUCUGCACAGACAAAAAUAAAUGCUUAACUACUGCCUCCUUUCUGUAGACAUAUCAAAAUAAAACUACCAGCAUUGUU